GUAAAGGUGAUGAAAUGGAGAGUAACCGUAUGCCUUGCGACAAGAGAGCGGCCGCCGCGGCUGAAAGCGGCUGUGCGUUUAAGAUGCGGUGAAGAACACCAUGGAGCUUCCGUUGUGAAAGCAGUUUUGUGAUUAGCUGCGGGCGCAGGCCGGCGUUAUUGGCAAGAGCGGAGAAACUUGUUUCUCAACAUGGGUGGUACCGCGGAUUUUAACUUCGUCCCUGUC
rnacentral:ncRNA from 1 species